CCCUCGUAUUGUUUACGCUUUCCUUAUAUUUUCCCAAGAUUUGUAUUUCAUCCCUACCACUAAUUUCCCAAUCGACCUACACUGCGCAUCUUGACUCCCCAGCAUUCGUCUCUUCGGCCAUUUUCACAGCUCCUCCGUCCACCGUAGCGUCGUCGGCCAACGACUUACCGACGGGAUUUGAGCGACGCGACUACGAGAUCAACAGUUUCCUUGCAUCAGAACUUCAACCCAUUGAAGAGCUACUUCGACAUUCUCUCUUCCAUCACUACCCAAUCGACGACAAUGGACAACUACGGCCAGUAGUGGGACUAUGUUCCCGAAUACCUACACAACACCGGUGGCUAUGCCUAGCAAAUGCAUUCUGUUGCAUCCGACCCCCAAACCCAUAGCUAGCGGUGCGGAAGGCUGCCAAAUGGAACUUAACAAAAUCUGAAAAACAGAAUUGCUGAAGCAAGAGAAUGCGUGAUGCAGCUAUACAACAGAAAGGAAUUUAAAUUAUAUUCAAUAGAACUCACCGGAGUGCAAGAUCUUCAUUACAACGUGCGAAAUGGUGACUGCUGAAGGCCACCGACACGGGAAAUGCUUCUCCACGAAAGGAUGGCAGCGUAUCACUGAGAUUUUCAACAGGACGACAGGAAAGAAUUGGACCACAUCGCAAAUGAAGAACUAUUGGGGAAAACUACGGGAGUAACAUAAACACCUGUUCGAGCUGCUGCGGAGCACGGGAAUUGAGUACCGCUCCAGCAUCGGUAAUAUCAUCACCCCUGAGCAUUGGUGGGAAUGCAAAAUCAAGGAAAACUUGAAGUAUGUGAAGUACAAGCACAUGGACUGCAGGGAGAUUUAUGACAUACGAAAAACUUUUCAGUGACACCGGAGACUUGUCUAAGUAUGCGUUAUCGCCGUCGAAGCUGUCGCGCCAUGGAUUCGACCUCGAUAAAGAUAGUGUCGAGACGAUGUCGGUGACAGGUUGCCAAUCAACGCGGAGUGAACCUAUUCUAGUGAUGGUCCGAAUGAAGGCAUAGAAAACUGAGCAUGGACAUUUCUGGGAGACGCAGUAGGGAUAAACGCAAAGGAAAACAACGCAGGGAGAAGGGAAAGAAGAAACGGUACAAUGCUCGAGAUGUUUUGACGUCGCUCGAGCAGAUGGUUAGCGUCGAAACGGAUCUUGCCUCAAUUGCAAGGUCACAUAGUAAAGGAGGAAUGUCAGUCGUCAAGUGUGUCGAAGAACUUCUGUCGUCCGGUUACGUGACGAAAGGUGAUGUGCUCCACCCGUUCAGCCUAUGGCUCCUCCGCGACAAAGAUAAUCAGAGUUCUUAUUAUGCUGCGAAAACACCACUUCUUUGCUUCAAGUUUGUGGAGUACUGCUUCGAGCGAGACAAUCUGAUGCAUCAACGAAAGGGGUGACUGAAUCGUCUUAUGCUUAUGUGGUGGUGGUGUUUAUUUUAUUUUCAUGCUUUUCACGUUCCGAACUUUUUUCUCCAUCCUAGGCGUGGGCAGAGCUGUAUCAUGAAAUUUGGCAGUAGACAAUUUUUUUGCCUCA